GCGUCGCUAGCUCAGUUGGUAGAGCACCUGACUCUUAAUCAGGGUGUCCAGGGUUCGACCCCCUGGCGUCGCA
rnacentral:tRNA from 1 species